CUGGGGCAUUUCAGAGUCUGAUUGGAAAAAAUAACAAAACAAUUAGUUCCUUUUUUAUUUCAGCCCCAAGAGGCUCAGGCUAGCAGAAUACAUGCUCUCGCUUUUUACAUUAACCCGUUAUGUAGGCAAUAUAUCUUGAGAUUCACUGUAGUUAAAAUUUUGAUCCAAGCAUAGUAAGAGAAGAACAGGAUACAUGUAUGCUCCUGCCUUUCAGUUCUCAUCUAUCACUGCUGCCUUUAUCUUUUGGAAUCUUCCCCUCUUUGAGUGGAUUCAUUCCAGAUUCACCACUGAACUCCACAUACCCUGCUGAGAACCACAGAAGAUAACGAAUUAUUCUCACAACCACCACCUUCUCAUGUCUUCCAACUCUUAUCCUGGAGGAAUUCUGCCAUGCCUUCCCCAAUCCCUGAAAGUCUCUGAUGGGGGAAAAGCUCUUCAUGCAAUCCUGUGAAGGAAAACUCAAGAUUUUCAGUGCCCUUCACAAAGGAGAAAUGACAGGAGAGGGUAACAUCAGUGAAUGGGUGGGCCCGCAGCUCCUCUGUAGACACCGAGAAUGUCAAAGAAGAAAUGAAGUUAAUAAAGACCAAUCAGCACUGCAUCAGGCUCAACAACACUGCAGUACUGGUCUUCUGGAAGAACAGUUGCCUCUGCCUUAUCAAGAAGCUGGUGAUGCAGGAAGUCAUCACCACGGGUGUUGCUUCCAUAGCCAAUCUGCACCUGCUAGAUUGCACUGGCCAAUGAAAGAAUGCGUCAUGCACUAUAACCUUUCUCCCCACUUCAAUCAGUUGCCAUUUAAUUCUUGAGAAAAUAUAUCUGAUUGGCAGACUCUAAGUCAUUCCCAGAACCCUAACUGCAAAGGAAUCUUGGAAAUAUGUUUUACUCUCCAGUUUCAGCAAUCCAGGAAUGCACAUCAGAAAGGCGGGAAAAGAUGUUCAGUAAGUAAGUCUAUUCUACCUGCCACAAAUAUCUACCAAUCUGGGCAGAGCUAUCCAUAGCAGGACCUGAGGGCUAUAGGGAAUAUAGCCAUGCACUAUGUAUAUUCAUAGAAUAAUGACAUGGAAUAGAAUGCUGAUGUGUUAUAUUUGCAAGAAAGCUUACAGAUCCUCUGAUUCAAUGUUUUUGAACUAUUUUCCCCAAAGCCCACCUCAUAGGUUGCCACUGAUGACCAGGUGAAGAGCAAGUCAGUGAGAUCUCCACUCCCUUAACACUUCAAUCAGAACAAUCCCUCCCUAAUUUACUUUAUAAAUUAGGCUUCCAAAUUGAAUUCUUCUGUAAAAUGUCUCUGCUACUAAAAGACAAAACUGAUUCCCAGGAAGCACAAUUGCUUAAGAUCACAAAGUAAGAUACUAGUACCACUGCAAAAAGAAACGAGACCUCUCAGAAUUUAAAAAGAACCAUUAGGGUCAUGGUUACCAAACUUUCGAACAUAAAAGACUAAUUAAAUUCUCAGCUUGAGUAAGAGAGAAUAAUGAGACUUAAACAUUAUGAAAAUAUGGACUCCAGUAGGAAGGCAUUUUUUUUCCUUCUAGAGACACUAUGCAGGUAACAAACAAGCAGUGGAAAGGCAGAAGAGUUGGUCAGUGUGAGCCUAAAUAAGACUACUAUUUGAUAUUUCAUCUCACCUCAUUAUAUCAAAUAAGGUGAGAUGAAAUAGAAGGCAAAAUAGGUUAUGCACCAAGACCAAAUUCAAAUGGUAACUUAGUAGACAAGGAAGCUUCCAAGCCAUCAGCCAAGCAAAGAACAGCCUAAGAGACAUGUAAUAGAGAACAUUCCAGAUGAAUGACAGAUACAAUCUGCUCAUUCCAGUAGUGAUAAUCACGUGGCUGUUGAUGGGGGUGCCCAGAUAUUUGGUCAGACAUUAUUCUGAAUGUGUCUAUGAGGGUGUUUCUGGAUAAGAUUAACAUUUGAGUGGACAGACUGAGUAAAACAGAUUGUCUUCCCUAAUGUAGGUGCCCUCAUCUAAUCAGUUGAAGUUCUAAAUAGAACAAAAAAGCCAACCUUCCUUCAAGUAAGAGGGAACUCCUGCUUUUACUGCUUGAGCAGUCUUUUCCUGCCUUCAGACUCAGACUAGAACUAUACCAUAGACUGUUCUGCACCUCCAGCUCGCUGACUGCAGAUCUUGGGACUUCUCAACCUCCACAAGCACAGCUGCAUGACCCAAUUUCUUCAAAAAAAAAAUCAGGCUCUCUCUCCCUCUCUCUCUACCCCCCCGCCAACCCCCUCUCUCUCUCUUUUCCAGUUUGUUCUGUUUCUCUGGAGAACUCUGACCAUAUCUGGUAACAUUUAUCAAGUAUUUACAAUGUUCUAAACAUAUUCUAGGAGCUUUUCUGGCAUUAAUUCAUUUAAUCUGAUACUAACACUGAGGCAGGUAAUUAUCCCCAAUUUACUACUGAGAAAACCAAGGCACAGUGGGUGAAGUAAGUUACUCAAGGAUACACAGCUAGUGAGCAGUAGAGCUGUCAUUCAAUGCUAGGCAGUCUGACUCCAAAGCUCUCCAACUGAAAUGUGCUCUUUUGUCUCCUAAUAGUAGGCACUGGUUCGAAGUUUGAUGAAUGAAUCAGUGACUAAUUAAAUGAAUUAAUGACUACAAGACAGGCUGGAAAGGAGGCAAAGAGAAAUAACUUGCAUAACCUUUAGAAGGAUUGAUUUGCAAGUAAAAACCUGAAGUGCUUUCUUGCUCAAAUUAUUUUUCUGAAGUGGUUAUCACCAAAAAGCAGUGUUUUAUAAUUUUUGUGGGACUUUAUUUUUGUAAAAUCCUGGUCUGACGAAUUGUAAAUCCAAGUUCUAGUUCUAAGUACCCCCUUACUAAUCAUUUGGCAUCAGGAAAGGCACUUAAUCUCUCUGAGUUAUAGCUUCCUUGUGUAUAAUUAGAAUUAUAACACCUGUCCGAGGUUUUAAUGAAAUACCAUGGGAUCUUACAGACUGUUUUUAUAUGACAUGGCUCGGUCAUUUUCCAGAAGGACAGGAGUAAAGUAGAUGAGUGGACACUUUAGUAAGCUGUUCCCCCACCCCAAUGUCUCUCACAAGAAUAUGUAGUUUACCCAUGAGUGGUCCUUGAUUCUACCUUCUCCAGUUGUACUCAGGAGUUCUUGCUACAGUUGUACCCUUUCUGGCCCAAGGGAAGGGGUCUCAAACUCAGGGAUCCAAAGGCUCUAGCCAAUGCAUCAUGAAACACAACUUCCUGCUGAUGUAACUAGUAUAAAGGACAAUUUCUAACUGAUAUGUCUGCAGAUGGCCCUGCUUGAAUCUGAGUAACUCCUUUGUCUAUUUCAAUCUGUGUUAUUUCUAAACCAUGUGUCUUUAGCUUCCCAAGCCUUAAGAGGCCGAGGCAAAAGCUCAGAAAAAGGUUAAUAAUGUGGGAAAACACUUAGAAAAAUGUAGAAAGAUACUGUCUAACGCAUCUGCCAUGGUACCUAGCACAUAGUAUUAAGUUCUUAAUAUUGCUACAAAAUGUGAGAUUAGAAUCAACAGAUCAUUCUCUUUCUUGCCUACAUACAUACCUAUUCCUUUAUUUGGUUGAGUUUUUCCUAACUAUGAGUGGAUUACCACCUUACUUUUCUUACUGCUCUCCUCUACCCGCACACACACACACACCCCCCAACACCCAGCCCCCCCGCCCUCCUCCCCACCACACACACACACACACACACACACACACACACACAGAAUAAUCAAACAUCAAGAGAAAAGAGCCAGCAAAUGUAACCUGGGUUGACCAGGCCUUGUACUAACUCCUGAGUUGAACUCUGGAGCCUGAGGAUGCCUUCAAGCUGCUGCCACCUUUAAGGGACUGACAGAACUGCUGCAGGUCUCUGGAAGAUGGCAUAAGCCUGAAGACUAUAAAUGUGUUUGAUCACUUUAUGGAGUAGUUAUACAGCCAGAUUUGGGAUACACAGUGUUUUUUUAAAAAACUUUUGCUUAUGGACUUUUGGUUAGCUGAAUCAUAUUAACAUUUCCAACAUCUGUAUAUUGUUUGUCACCAAGAGAGUUGAAGAUUUGAGUACAAAAAGACUUACAUAAACCCUUUGUUGACUGCCCAUCCAGAUUUUUCAGGACAGACCUGAUUUCAAAUAUUUUGGAUGCUACACUAUAAAUUGGCACUUGUCAGAGUCACUUGAAAGUGGGUGUCUAGUAUUGUUUUGUUUGGUUUGGUUGGGAGGUUCACACUAUAGAUACGACUGAGAUUAGUCAUUCAGAUAUGGCUUCAAAUGGACAAACCAAAUUGGGGGGGGUGGGGUGGAAGUUUUUCUCAUUUAAAAAAAGAAAGCAGAAUAAACAAUAAUGAUUUAUAAUAUGUGUCUGUUAUUUUCUCCCAUCUGCUCUUAACCAUUUCCUAUGAAGUAAAUAUAGAUUUUUAAAAUAAAUACAAUUUUUCCUGUAAAAAAUAAAUUUGUUAUUUUCAUAUAACAAAUGAAAAGAAUGAGAUUCAGAGAGAUUAUGUCGUUUAUCUCCAAACAAAUGUUUUCCUCACUAUCCCCAAAGCUAUUUCAUAAAUGCCCACAAAGUUUUUUGAAAAAUGACUCACCUGCACUGUGAAGAAGUAUGUUAACAGUCACCA
rnacentral:lncRNA from 1 species